rnacentral:rRNA from 1 species
UACGGAGGGUGCGAGCGUUGUCCGGAAUCACUGGGCGUAAAGGGCGCGUAGGCGGCCGGAGAAGUCGGUGGUGAAAGCUCGGGGCUCAACUCCGAGUCGGCCACCGAUACUGUUCGGCUCGAGUUUGGUAGAGGCAGAUGGAAUUCCGGGUGUAGCGGUGGAAUGCGUAGAGAUCCGGAAGAACACCGGUGGCGAAGGCGGUCUGCUGGGCCAAGACUGACGCUGAGGCGCGACAGCGUGGGGAGCAAACAGG